GACGAACGCUGGCGGCGUGCUUAACACAUGCAAGUCGAACGGAAAGGCCCUGCUUUUGUGGGGUGCUCGAGUGGCGAACGGGUGAGUAACACGUGAGUAACCUGCCCUUGACUUUGGGAUAACUUCAGGAAACUGGGGCUAAUACCGGAUAGGAGCUCCUGCUGCAUGGUGGGGGUUGGAAAGUUUCGGCGGUUGGGGAUGGACUCGCGGCUUAUCAGCUUGUUGGUGGGGUAGUGGCUUACCAAGGCUUUGACGGGUAGCCGGCCUGAGAGGGUGACCGGCCACAUUGGGACUGAGAUACGGCCCAGACUCCUACGGGGGGCAGCAGUGGGGAAUAUUGCACAAUGGGCGGAAGCCUGAUGCAGCAACGCCGCGUGCGGGAUGACGGCCUUCGGGUUGUAAACCGCUUUCGCCUGUGACGAAGCGUGAGUGACGGUAAUGGGUAAAGAAGCACCGGCUAACUACGUU
rnacentral:rRNA from 1 species